rnacentral:rRNA from 1 species
UAGUCCACGCCCUAAACGAUGUCAACUAGUUGUCGGGGAAGCAAUUCCUUGGUAACGCAGCUAACGCGUGAAGUUGACCGCCUGGGGAGUACGGUCGCAAGAUUAAAACUCAAAGGAAUUGACGGGGACCCGCACAAGCGGUGGAUGAUGUGGAUUAAUUCGAUGCAACGCGAAAAACCUUACCUACCCUUGACAUGUCCAGAACCCCGAUGAAAGUUGGGGGUGCCCGAAAGGGAAUUGGAACAC